UUAGUAGCGAAGUAGCUGAUUUCACACUGUCAAGAAAAGUCUCUAUCGAGGUUAAAGGUACCCGUACCGCAAACCGACACAGGUGGGUGAGGAGAGUAUCCUAAGGCCAGCGAGAGAACUGUUGUUAAGGAACUCGGCAAAAUGACCCCGUAACUUAGGGAUAAGGGGUGCCACCAUCAGGUGGCCGCAGAGAAUAGGCCCAAGCGACUGUUUACCAAAAACAUAGGUUUCUGCUAAGUCGCAAGACGAUGUAUAGGAGCUGACGCCUGCCCGGUGCUGGAAGGUUAAGGGGAUCUGUUAGAGCAAUCGAAGCAGUGAACUUAAGCCCCAGUAAACGGCGGCCGUAACUAUAACGGUCCUAAGGUAGCGAAAUUCCUUGUCGGGUAAGUUCCGACCCGCACGAAAGGCGUAACGAUUUGGGCACUGUCUCAACAACAGACUCGGUGAAAUUGUAAUUCCGGUGAAGAUGCCGGAUACCUGCGACAGGACGGAAAGACCCCAUGGAGCUUUACUGUAGCUUGACAUUGGGUCUUGGUACUACAUGUACAGGAUAGGUGGGAGGCUUUGAAACCAGGACGCCAGUUUUGGCGGAGCCAUCCUUGGGAUAC
rnacentral:rRNA from 1 species